AACGAUGAAGCCCAGCUUGCUGGGUGGAUUAGUGGCGAACGGGUGAGUAACACGUGAGUAACCUGCCCCUGACUCUGGGAUAAGCCCGGGAAACUGGGUCUAAUACCGGAUAUGACUUUUGACCGCAUGGUUGAGGGUGGAAAGAUUUAUCGGUUGGGGAUGGACUCGCGGCCUAUCAGCUUGUUGGUGAGGUAAUGGCUCACCAAGGCGACGACGGGUAGCCGGCCUGAGAGGGUGACCGGCCACACUGGGACUGAGACACGGCCCAGACUCCUACGGGAGGCAGCAGUGGGGAAUAUUGCACAAUGGGCGCAAGCCUGAUGCAGCGACGCCGCGUGAGGGAUGACGGCCUUCGGGUUGUAAACCUCUUUCAGUAGGGAAGAAGCGAAAGUGACGGUACCUGCAGAAGAAGCGCCGGCUAACUACGUGCCAGCAGCCGCGGUAAUACGUAGGGCGCAAGCGUUAUCCGGAUUUAUUGGGCGUAAAGAGCUCGUAGGCGGUUUGUCGCGUCUAUCGUGAAAGUCCGAGGCUCAACCUCGGAUCUGCGGUGGGUACGGGCAGACUAGAGUGAUGUAGGGGAGACUGGAAUUCCUGGUGUAGCGGUGAAAUGCGCAGAUAUCAGGAGGAACACCGAUGGCGAAGGCAGGUCUCUGGGCAUUUACUGACGCUGAGGAGCGAAAGCAUGGGGAGCGAACAGGAUUAGAUACCCUGGUAGUCCAUGCCGUAAACGUUGGGCACUAGGUGUGGGGGACAUUCCACGUUUUCCGCGCCGUAGCUAACGCAUUAAGUGCCCCGCCUGGGGAGU
rnacentral:rRNA from 1 species